GGGGGUACAGCUCAGUGGUAGAGCACAUGCUUAGCAUGCAUGAGGUCUUUGGUUCAGUCCCCAGUACCUCCA
rnacentral:tRNA from 1 species